CACACACGUGGUUCGGUCGGCUCGGGUACAUAAAUUUUUAAUAAAGUUUCGGCUAGAACAAGAAAACAAGGAAUUGUCUGACCAUGUCCAUGUCGGGAGUGUUCGAUUUACAAAACACACCAGUACCGCAAUGAUCGCGAGUGAUACGGCGCUGUCGGAAUUUCGACCUAGUUUGUAGUCGAUGGAUGAAUUGAAAUAUCCGGUGAGCACCGUCACGAAACGGAAGCGGUACAGGAGCAAAGGACCGGCAGCCGAAUGUUCCGGCCUACGGACAAACAAAAAGUUUUCCGUAUUGUGCCCAAUUUUUCCGUCUUAUUGCCCUACAUAGCAUAGAUAGAGGCAGAAGUCUGUGUCCCAAUGCGAAUUAAUCCGCUGUCCACAUCCACGCAAAACCCCGUCACUCACCUGCAGACUGACAAGAACGCCGAAAUGGAACGGAUAAAAUGCGGACCAUGGGAAUUACUUAAAUCGGUAGACUGUCUGCAAAAGGAAUGGCCAGGGUUAUUGGCGCUGCAUUCAAUUCAAGAAUCGUCGGGCGGAUCAAUGCGUGAAACUUUCUUGGUUAUUAGACUGCAUGACUACGAUGAUCCGCCAGACGCACCUGCAUGCCGCAUUGCAAGGAGAGUCGGGAAAACUCCUGCUGGGCCUAUAUAUCCACCCGGUGUUACCAGCGGCCGGUAUAAUGCCCAACCACAGAGAAACAGACGUCUCACUUAGAACAAAAUGCAAUCAAAAUCAUCGUCACGAAAACAGUACCGCCCAAUUCUAAAUGCACUGUAGGUGGACAAGCGGCAACCAGGUGGCGGUAGUGAGCAAACGUCAAACACAAGUAAAACCGAUGGAAGCGCCAUCGGUGGCCGAUCGACCACCUACAAAAAAUUGAAUCCACCGUUAAAAAGAUGAACGAUGGAACAUGUGUAGAGUGAGACGUCUGUUUCUCUGUGGCCCAACGUUCCGGUUAGAAGAGAUCAGACCCGGUGUCACCGAACUAAAGACGAUA